UAAGAAAUGAAAUGGGGAAUUUAAUUCCCAUCUUCUCCUCCCAUCUUUCUUCUUCUAUAAUUUCAGUUACAUACCAACACCAACAAUGUUUAAUUGUAUCGGCAUAGUACAUACAUGAGAAUCGCAUGAGAACACAACACGUUAUCAGCACGAAUAGCUCGAUGCCGCCUGUUCGACGGUGUUUAUGCCGAGCUACCGGGGAUGAUGCCCGCAAAGCCAUAUAAUCAACUUCACAAUUUAUAUUUGUGUCUUGAGUUGAAUUUGUGUUUUUUUUAAUAAUAUAUGUGGAUAGUAGUACUGACUCUGUUGCUUCUAUUGAUCAGGGUAGUAACACUAUUAAUGGCGGCAAGUUGUUCUACAAGUAUUGCAAACUUGUACGAAUGUUUUUGGGUAAGUGCGGGAAGAGAUUUUGAAACAAUUCCACCAGAAGCUGGAAUUUCGUCUAGCAUAGUAUAGAUGCAAAAGGCACGGUCCGCUAGCCAUUCGGUCCCAGAAGUGACCCGUUAUAAAAGUGCUAGUCGUUCCUAUUUGCGGUCCCUGAAGUGACCAAGUAGGAAACUUUUCUAUAAAAGAGUGUAUCCAUUUGUACGCUUGUAAAUUAAUAUUCCGUCGAUCCCGAGGGACGAAAAUGGAGAUUUAUUAUGUUGGUA